GGGAAGCAACUGAGAUAUUAAUUCCCUCUUCCAACUUUUUUCACUAGAGCAGGUGUCUUAGCAGAUCCCUAAAAGAUUUCUUUGACGGUGUGACUGGUUGACAAGGAAACAAGCAGAGGCAGAGGAAAGCACCUCCAAAUGAGGAGGGCACUUAAAGCUAAGGGUAAAUAUUUCAGGAAGAGAGAUAUGAAAUGAGCAACGUUUGCAGAUGAGCUGUAGAGGUGCCACAGACCAGGAGAGGGCAUGGUGAUAUCUGUUUCCAGUGGAGAAAAGCUGUUUUAGUAAAGCAGUUAAACCCUGACUUAAUUCUCAUAAUUUGUUCUGGAAAAUCCACUCCAAAGUGAAUUGAUUUCUCUUGUACACUUCUUUGACACCUUUUUCUGCAUAUUCUCUAUUUCUUUGCUGUAUGGAGCAUGCAGGUUACUCCCUCUGCUUCUCUACCAUCCUUAGCACGUGUGAGGAAAAGGGGAAUGCUCACAGAGCUGCUGCCAUGGGAGACAUGAUGCCAGCAAGAAUCAAGGAAGAGCUAAAUGGGGAACAUAUGCUCUAUAUUAGUAUCCAAAGAUGGAAAAUGCAUGGAGGAGUGCAUAGCAUGAGCAGAAGAAGCCAAAAUCAAGAAUAUAUGCAAAUCUAGAAGAAGCCAUUUGAAUUUCCCAUUAAACUUUGACUUGCAGGUGCUUGCUUUUUUCACUGAUGACAUUUGCAGGGGUGAGUACUGUGUGUUAGAAGACUUUCCAAAAGUUGCUAACUUCUGUCCCAAAAAACAGACAGAAAAGGAUCUGGAAGCCUCAGCUUCUACUAUCUGUGCAGGAUGAGCAGGAACAAAUGACCAGGCAGUUUGUCAUCCCUCUCCCUCUGGAACUGGGACCCUUAAUGGUGCAUUUUUACUCUUGCAGAAGAUGGACUGAAGAAGCAUGUAGUCACCCCAGUAUCAGAGGUCUUGAUCCAGUAUUUCCUGAGUGUGUAGGGCAUCUGACAGCAAGGUGAGCCUUUCAAUUAGCCCAAAAGACACAACUAGUGAAAAUUUUUUCAGCAGAACAGUUUUUUUCAUUAGGAAAUAACAUUUCUUUAAAAUAAG
rnacentral:lncRNA from 1 species